rnacentral:rRNA from 1 species
GCACGGGUGAGUAACACGUGAAUAAUCUACCUCCGAGUGGGGAAUAACUGAGAGAAAUCUUAGCUAAUACCGCAUAACACUUACGAGUCAAAGCAGCAAUGCGCUUGGAGAGGAGUUCGCGGCAGAUUAGUUAGUUGGCGGGGUAAUGGCCCACCAAGACGAUGAUCUGUAUCCGGCCUGAGAGGGCGCACGGACACACUGGAACUGAAACACGGUCCAGACUCCUACGGGAGGCAGCAGUGGGGAAUUUUGCGCAAUGGGGGAAACCCUGACGCAGCAACGCCGCGUGGAGGAUGAAAUCCCUUGGGAUGUAAACUCCUUUCGAUAGGGAAGAUAAUGACGGUACCUAUAGAAGAAGCCCCGGCUAACUUCGUGCCAGCAGCCGCGGUAAUACGAGGGGGGCAAGCGUUGUUCGGAAUUAUUGGGCGUAAAGGGUGCGUAGGCGGUUUGACAAGUCUUAUGUGAAAUCUUCGGGCUCAACCCGAAGUCUGCAUAGGAAACUGUCGGGCUUGAGUAUUGGAGAGGUGAGUGGAAUUUCCGGUGUAGCGGUGAAAUGCGUAGAUAUCGGAAGGAACACCUGUG